UCUGCUGCCUGCAGAUAGAUCAGGAUGUGGAACUCUCAGAUACUGUCUGGCACCGGGUCUGCCUGUGCUGAGCUUCUGCCCUGAUGACAAUGGACUAAACCUCUGAAACUGACCCAGAGGAGGAAGCCUGCUCGUAUAUCAAGUGAGAGCUGCCUGGCGACCUAGGCCCUGAUACUCAAGGCUCCUGAGGUGAAGUAGGUCAGAAAAUUAAUGUCUUCUGGUGAACAAGUAGCAGAACUCCACAAAGAAAACAGGUGGGGGCACGCCUGACUGACAUCUUGAAGGAAUCAUAGAACCAAUGUGGCUGGAGCUGAGUCAGCAAAGAAGCUUGAGUUGGACAGCCCUAACAAGAACAGCCUCACUGAGUCACCUGCCUCCACAGCUGGGGCCACUCUGAGCACACCUUCCCGACCAUCAUGGCUUCUACCCUCCAGCUGUGAGCCAGAAGGAACCCUUUCUUCUUUCAGUUGCUUUUGUGAGGUAUUUUGUCACAGCAGUGAGGAAAAGGAACUGCUUGGGAUUCCUGUUGGACAGCCAAGAGGAGGUGCCACAUCGGAAGCUGGUAUCUGGAGAGCCCGGGGCAGGGGUCCGGGCUGGCAGUAGAAACUGGGUGGGGUCAAAUCAGAGUCCCGCGAUAGAUCAGGUGUUGGCUAGGGCGUUAAAAGAGAUGAGAAGACAUAUUUGGACUGAGCCCAGGAGCCCUCAGAAGCUUUGGGAAUGGGGAAGUGGGAGUGAUUCUGUGAAGGGGAACAUUGGAUAAGAAAGGGCAGAUCAUUCUGCUGAAGCCACCUUGUGUUUUUAGGGUCACUUCUCAAAAAGAAGAGGAGGAGGAGGAGGAGGAGGGAAAAACUCUUAAGUUGUGAAAAAUAUUUGUACCAACAAACAAAUACUCUAACAUUGAAAUUCAGACCAAGAAAGAUGUUAGGAUUAAGGCAAAGGCUAGGGAUUUUAUGGUGAGAAAGAAUACAAAUUAAUGUGAAAAAUACUUAGACCCUAACAGGAAACAUACGAAGGAUAUGAACAGACAGUUCACAAAGAAGGAAGUAAAACUAGUAAACAAAGGUUUAGAAAACAUGUGACAUCAUCAACAAGGAGAGAAAUACAGAUUAAAACUACAAGAUGAUAUGUUUUCAACCAUUAAAUGAACAAAAGGCUUUUCAUGACAGUUUACCCAGUAAUUCCAGUUCAGGGAAAUCUAAGAAACUAAGUAAAAAUGUGGAUGAGAAAAUUGACCACAAUUUUAUCCACAAUUAUAGAAAAUAGUUCCAGUGCUAGCACUGAGAGACUAGCUUAGAAAAUUGUGGCGUAGUCAUACUAUUACCUGUGGUGACUUGAAUGCAAAUGGUGGCCCCAUAGGCUCAUAUAUUUGAAUGCUUAGUCACCAGGGAGUGGCACUACUUGAGAAGGAUUAAAA